UACGGAGGGGGCUAGCGUUGUUCGGAAUUACUGGGCGUAAAGCGCACGUAGGCGGCUUUGUAAGUUAGAGGUGAAAGCCCGGGGCUCAACUCCGGAAUUGCCUUUAAGACUGCAUCGCUAGAAUCGUGGAGAGGUAAGUGGAAUUCCGAGUGUAGAGGUGAAAUUCGUAGAUAUUCGGAAGAACACCAGUGGCGAAGGCGACUUACUGGGCACAUAUUGACGCUGAGGCACGAAAGCGUGGGGAGCAAACAGG
rnacentral:rRNA from 1 species